GUGAUUACUUUGGCAGCACAUACACUAAAAUUGGAAUGACACAGAGAAGAUUAGCAUGGUCCCUGGACAAGGAUAAUAUGCAACUUCAUGAAGUUUUCCAUAUUUUU
ensembl:snRNA U6 U6 spliceosomal RNA